rnacentral:misc_RNA from 1 species
UUUAGAGGAAGUAAGAGUCGUAACAAGGUUUCACCACGGAGACCGUGCAUCCCUCGGGAGGCAGCGCGACUGUAAAUAACGCUGGCCGUAUGCAAGUCAGUUCGCUGGCAACACAAUCGAAUUGCGGGGACCUCCUAAAGCUCUACCUACUCCUUAGCGCUGAAAGGCGCUAACAUGGUUAAAACGGUAGUGAUGUUACAAUGGACGACCCGCAGCGAAGACCCUAAAGCGCGAGCCACGGGUAACGUUCACAGACUAAGUGAUUGUGGGUAGCAUGCUACUUAAGAUAUAGUCGAGCCCUGAUCGAAAGGCCAGGGGCAAAGGUCCGUAGGUGAACCUGCGGAAGGAUC